rnacentral:rRNA from 1 species
CAGCAGCCACGGUAAUACGUAGGUCCCGAGCGUUGUCCGGAUUUAUUGGGCGUAAAGCGAGCGCAGGCGGUUAGAUAAGUCUGAAGUUAAAGGCUGUGGCUUAACCAUAGUACGCUUUGGAAACUGUUUAACUUGAGUGCAAGAGGGGAGAGUGGAAUUCCAUGUGUAGCGGUGAAAUGCGUAGAUAUAUGGAGGAACACCGGUGGCGAAAGCGGCUCUCUGGCUUGUAACUGACGCUGAGGCUCGAAAGCGUGGGGCGCAAACAGGAUUAGAUACCCGCGUAGUCCCUGUCUCUUAUACA